rnacentral:SRP_RNA from 1 species
AUUUUAUGAUGAUAUAGUUAAACCGUGGGACCCGGGCGAAGGCUUAGGUCUCCUAGUUCCUAGAGCAGAGGGUAAUGCGUGAGGUUGGCUUCACAGAGCAGCGACUACCUCCCGCUUCCGACAGUAGAA